CUGCCGUUUUACGUAAAAGGCAGAUAAAACACAAUGUCAUGUACUGUGCAGUGUAUGGGAUCUGCCGCUGCAUAAUUUGCAAAGGUAAAAAGGCCAUUUUCGCAUUCAUCAACACUUUUCUGUACUUUUCCUUUAAGCACUGGAUCUAUUCAGUCUGUUUUUCCGGAACCACAUCGCGCUUCUUUUACCAACUUACCUGAACUCCGCCAGCUACUCUAAAAAUGUCCAGUGACGACGAUAGCUUUGGCACUAUCGAUUAUGGAUCGUCCAGUAGUGAUGAGUCCUCUUCCACGAGUACUGAACCAUCGGACAACAAUCCUCCAAGCAGUGGCUCAACCUCGGAUAGCGGCAGAAUGGUCAAGCGCCACCGCGUCCAGCGACAGCGACAGUUCAAUAAAGAGUAGCGAUGACUGAUCAGUAUUUACCCUCUGGAUACAUAUCUGUACAGUUCGCAAAGCAGCAGCUCGAACAGGGAUGGCUUAUGAAAGGAAUGCAUGUUUUGUCGUCCAUGCCUGUGAAAAAGUCGCCGUGACUGUUCUUCUUAAUCCUAGUACAGAUAGUUUUCAUACCAUUUACUAUUUUCUGGUCGCCUCGCUGUGUUGUGCCGUUUGCAUUCGAAUACCGCUUCUUAUCUCUCAUCGAAUUUUUCUUUUAAAGUUUUUCAUUCCUAAUCGCUUCAAUUUUGUUCCUGUUAAUUUACCAGAUAUUGUAUAAUCUUUGGUUUGAUGCGAACAAGCUUUGUGGCUGCAAGUAUUUAUUCGUGCAAACCAAAUUAAUAAUGCCAGGUGUUGUUG